CAAGGACUGCGUAUUAAAAACUAAAACCUCUAGGCUUUCUAUAGACUAAGUCUAAGAAUAACAAUACAAAGACACUAUUUAUUCUAAAUCAUGCCCAGACAACUAUAAUUGUGACAUACGACUGAACAGAAGCAUAAAGUGAAACAGAGAGGAAAAAGACAAGGAGACGCCAAACCACACGACACAGCGCAAGCUUAAAUAUUUCAUUUGGCUUCUCACAACGAGUGGAAAGACUUGGAAUUUGCCGGAGCGCUGAUCCUGGAGGCACAUCAAACAUGGCCGCUGUCAUCUGUCUCAACGUCCACUUGUGUUUGUUUAGCUGUUUGCAUCAAACUAAAUAAAAGUGACCUAGAGGAUUACAGCAGAAA